GGGGGCGACAUGGCUUCGACGCAGGUCGCGAAACCCGAGGUGCAUGCCGAGGACGUCACUUCCCUCGUAAAUCAUGUGACACCAAAGAUAGUUGCCAACGACGACAACUACGCUCUCGCGGCCUAAAAACCCGUGAGCCACCAGUCAGGCGAUCGCCUGUGGUCCCUGGCGGUGGUCAUAGCACACAGGCUAGUCUCAUUGGCUGCCCGGACCUUUGAGGCGAAACCUUAACGGGCUCGCCGGUUGAUCGCCCUGCCCGUCGGGCGGUAACCGGUUAAACACAAUAGACCGGGCUAAGCAUGUAGAUCCGAGGGCGGAGGUCCUGCGGACGCGGGUUCGAUUCCCGCCGCCUCCACCA
rnacentral:tmRNA from 1 species